rnacentral:rRNA from 1 species
ACCUGGGAGUAAAAUUUAAAUGCUUGAAUAUUAAUAGUUAUAUUCUUUAAAAUCAAAGAAUUUGGCGGUAUUUUAGUCUUGUUAGAGGAACUUGUUCUAUAAACGAUAAAACACGCAGAAUCUUACUUAUCUUGGUAAAUUUUACAGUUUGUAUACCGUCAUUAUUAAAUAAUCUUGAAAAAGUUAAUUAUUGGGAUUAAAAAAUUAAAUAUAUUAGAUCAAGGUGCAGCUGAUAGAUAAGUAGAAAUGAGUUACAAUAAUAUUUAUUUAUAACGGAUUGAAAAUAGAACUAUUUUUAAAGAAGGUGGAUGUAAUUGUAAAAAAAGUUUAAUAAGCUUUUUUGGUAUAAGCUCUAAAUUAUGUACAUAUCGCCCGUCACUUUCAUUUAAAAUGAAAUAAGUCGUAACAUA